rnacentral:rRNA from 1 species
AGUGAACGCUGGCGGUAGGCCUAACACAUGCAAGUCGAACGGCAGCACAGUAAGAGCUUGCUCUUACGGGUGGCGAGUGGCGGACGGGUGAGGAAUACAUCGGAAUCUACUUUUUCGUGGGGGAUAACGUAGGGAAAAUUACGCUAAUACCGCAUACGACCUAAGUGUGAAAGCAGGGGAUCUUCGGACCUUGCGCGAUUGAAUGAGCCGAUGACGGAUUAGCUAGUUGGCGGGGUAAAGGCCCACCAAGGCGACGAUCCGUAGCUGGUCUGAGAGGAUGAUCAGCCACACUGGAACUGAGACACGGUCCAGACUCCUACGGGAGGCAGCAGUGGGGAAUAUUGGACAAUGGGCGCAAGCCUGAUCCAGCCAUACCGCGUGGGUGAAGAAGGCCUUCGGGUUGUAAAGCCCUUUUGUUGGGAAAGAAAAGCAGCAGGUUAAUACCCCGCUGUUCCGACGGUACCCAAAGAAUAAGCACCGGCUAACUUCGUG